rnacentral:rRNA from 1 species
UUGGAGGGCAAGUCUGGUGCCAGCAGCCGCGGUAAUUCCAGCUCCAAUAGCGUAUAUUAAAGUUGUUGCAGUUAAAAAGCUCGUAGUUGAAUUUCGGGAUCAAUUUGCUGGUCGUGCCUCUGGUACGUACUGGUAUUAUUGGUUUCUCCCUUCUGACGAACCAUGAUGUCAUUAAUUUGAUGUCGUGGAGAAUCAGGACUGUUACUUUGAAAAAAUUAGAGUGUUUAAAGCAGGCAUUAGCUUGAAUACAUUAGCAUGGAAUAAUGAAAUAGGACGUUUGAUCCUAUUUUGUUGGUUUCUAGGAUUGACGUAAUGAUUAAUAGGGAUAGUUGGGGGCAUUAGUAUUCAAUUGUCAGAGGUGAAAUUCUUGGAUUUAUUGAAGACUAACUACUGCGAAAGCAUUUGCCAAGGAUGUUUUCAUUAAUCAAGAACGAAAGUUAGGGGAUCGAAGACGAUCAGAUACCGUCGUAGUCUUAACCAUAAACUAUGCCGACUAGGGAUCGGACGAUGUUAAUUUUUCUUGACUCGUUCGGCGCCUUACGGGAAAC